rnacentral:rRNA from 1 species
GAUGAACGUUGGCGGCGUGCCUAAUACAUGCAAGUCGAGCGAACAGACGAGGAGCUUGCUCCUCUGACGUUAGCGGCGGACGGGUGAGUAACACGUGGAUAACCUACCUAUAAGACUGGGAUAACUUCGGGAAACCGGAGCUAAUACCGGAUAAUAUAUAGAACCGCAUGGUUCAAUAGUGAAAGACGGUUUUGCUGUCACUUAUAGAUGGAUCCGCGCCGCAUUAGCUAGUUGGUAAGGUAACGGCUUACCAAGGCAACGAUGCGUAGCCGACCUGAGAGGGUGAUCGGCCACACUGGAACUGAGACACGGUCCAGACUCCUACGGGAGGCAGCAGUAGGGAAUCUUCCGCAAUGGGCGAAAGCCUGACGGAGCAACGCCGCGUGAGUGAUGAAGGUCUUCGGAUCGUAAAACUCUGUUAUUAGGGAAGAACAAAUGUGUAAGUAACUAUGCACGUCUUGACGGUACCUAAUCAGAAAGCCACGGCUAACUACGUG